rnacentral:rRNA from 1 species
UACGAAGGGGGCUAGCGUUGUUCGGAAUUACUGGGCGUAAAGCGCGCGCAGGUGGUCCUUCAAGUCAGGGGUGAAAGCCCAGAGCUCAACUCUGGAACGGCCUUUGAGACUGUGGGACUUGGGUACGGGAGAGGUGAGUGGAAUUCCGAGUGUAGAGGUGAAAUUCGUAGAUAUUCGGAAGAACACCAGUGGCGAAGGCGGCUCACUGGCCCGUUACCGACACUCAGGCGCGACAGCGUGGGGAGCAAACAGG